CAAAUUUGAAAUCUGGCCCUCGGGUCCGAGUUGUAAUUUGUAGAGGAUGCUUUUGGCGCGGUGCCUUCCGAGUUCCCUGGAACGGGACGCCUUAGAGGGUGAGAGCCCCGUACGGUUGGACACCAAGCCUCUGUAUAGCUCCUUCGACGAGUCGAGUAGUUUGGGAAUGCUGCUCUAAACGGGAGGUAAAUUUCUUCUAAAGCUAAAUAUUGGCCAGAGACCGAUAGCGCACAAGUAGAGUGAUCGAAAGAUGAAAAGUACUUUGAAAAGAGGGUUAAACAGCACGUGAAAUUGUUGAAAGGGAAGCGUUUGCGACCAGACCUUUUCCCGGCGGAUCAUCCGGUGUUCUCACCGGUGCACUUCGCCGGGUCUAGGCCAGCAUCGGUUUUCUUGGGGGGAUAAAAGCUCUGGGAACGUAGCUCCUCCGGGAGUGUUAUAGCCCUCUGCAUAAUACCCUCAGGGGGACCGAGGACCGCGCUUCGGCAAGGAUGCUGGCGUAAUGGUCGUCAACGACCCGUCUUGAAACACGGACCAAGGAGUCGAACAUUUGUGCGAGUGUUUGGGUGUCAAACCCUCACGCGUAAUGAAGGUGAACGUAGGUGAGAGCCCUCACGGGUGCAUCAUCGACCGAUCCUGAUGUCUUCGGAUGGAUUUGAGUAAGAGCAUAACUGUUCG
rnacentral:rRNA from 1 species